UACACUCCUACGGGAGGCAGCAGUGGGGAAUUUUGGCCAAUGGGCGAAAGCCUGAUCCAGCAAUGCCGCGUGAGUGAAGAAGGCCUUCGGGUUGUAAAGCUCUUUUGUCAGGGAAGAAACGGUGAAAGCUAAUAUCUUUUGCUAAUGACGGUACCUGAAGAAUAAGCACCGGCUAACUACGUGCCAGCAGCCGCGGUAAUACGUAGGGUGCAAGCGUUAAUCGGAAUUACUGGGCGUAAAGCGUGCGCAGGCGGUUUUGUAAGUCUGAUGUGAAAUCCCCGGGCUCAACCUGGGAAUUGCAUUGGAGACUGCAAGGCUAGAAUCUGGCAGAGGGGGGUAGAAUUCCACGUGUAGCAGUGAAAUGCGUAGAUAUGUGGAGGAACACCGAUGGCGAAGGCAGCCCCCUGGGUCAAGAUUGACGCUCAUGCACGAAAGCGUGGGGAGCAAACAGGAUUAGAAACCCCUGUAGUCCCAU
rnacentral:rRNA from 1 species